CUCGAACCUACGCAUACAUGAGUCAAAGUCAUGUGCCUUACCGACUUGGCUAAUCCCCAAUAUAUAUGUGGUGAGCGCACAGGGAUUCGAACCCCGGACACACGCCUUAGAAGGGCGUUGCUCUAUCCAGCUGAGCUAUGCACCCACGCUUUCUUUGGAGCGGGUGAAGGGGAUCGAACCCUCACAGCUGGCUUGGAAGGCCAGAACUCUACCAUUGAGCUACACCCGCAUAUUUAAUUGGUGGAGGAUGGUGGAUUCGAACCACCGAAGUCGAUGACAACAGAUUUACAGUCUGCCCCCUUUGGCCGCUCGGGAAAUCCUCCGUAUUANUGGGAUACCACCCUUGUAGUACUGGGACUCUAACCAUAGGCCAUGAAUCUGGUCUUGGGACACUGUCAGGUGGGCAGUUUGACUGGGGCGGUCGCCUCCCAAAAGGUAACGGAGGCGCUCAAAGGUUCUCUCAGUACGGUCGGAAAUCGUACGUAGAGUGUAAAGGCAAAAGAGAGCUUGAUUGCAAGACAUACAGGUCGAGCAAGGAUGAAAAUCGGACUUAGUGAUCCGGUGGUUCUGCGUGGAAGGGCCAUCGCUCAACGGAUAAAAGCUACCCUGGGGAUAACAGGCUUAUCUCCCCCAAGAGUCCACAUCGACGGGGAGGUUUGGCACCUCGAUGUCGGCUCAUCACAUCCUGGGGCUGUAGUAGGUCCCAAGGGUUGGGCUGUUCGCCCAUUAAAGUGGUACGCGAGCUGGGUUCAGAACGUCGUGAGACAGUUCGGUCCCUAUCCGUCGCAGGCGUAGGAAAUUUGAGAAGACCUGUCCUUAGUACGAGAGGACCGGGAUGGACGUACCUCUGGUGUACCAGUUGUCCUGCCAAGGGCAUGGCUGGGUAGCUAUGUACGGAAUGGAUAAGCGCUGAAAGCAUCUAAGCGCGAAGCCAACUUCAAGAUAAGAUUUCCCACCGCAAGGGUAAGACCCCAGAAAGACUAUCUGGUUGAUAGGUCGAAGGUGUAAGUGCAGCAAUGUAUUUAGCUUAUCGAUACUAAUAGGUCGAGGACUUGACCAAUAUUAUUUGAUGUUAUUCAUUAAGAUAUAUGUGCAGUUUUUAGAGUGUUAACUCUAUGUAAAGUACUAACUUCAAUUGAUGAAGUAUAUAUCGUAAAAACAAUUACUAUUUAGUACUUCAAAACUAUUGACAUUUAAAAAUAAAGAUGUUAAUAUAAUACUUGUCUUAUAAAUAGGCAAUAUGUGGUUAUAAUAGCAAAGAGGAUACACCUGUUCCCAUUCCGAACACAGAAGUUAAGCUCUUUAGCGCUGAUGGUACUUGGUGGGAAACUGCCUGGGAGAGUAGGACGUAGCCACGUGAAUAUUCCAAGGUAGCUCAAUGGUGGAGCAACCGGCUGUUAACCGGUAGGCUGUGGGUUCGAGCCCCACCCUUGGAGCCAAAAAAAGCCGAAGUGGCGGAACUGGCAGACGCACAGGACUUAAAAUCCUGCGGGACUUACCUCUCGUACCGGUUCGAUUCCGGUCUUCGGCACUUAUAAAACAAUAUCGCGGAGUGGAGCAGUUGGCAGCUCGUCGGGCUCAUAACCCGAAGGUCGUAGGUUCAAGUCCUGCCUCCGCAACCAUUAAAAUGGCUCGUUGGUCAAGAGGUUAAGACACCGCCCUUUCACGGCGGUAACAGGGGUUCAAUUCCCCUACGAGUCACCAAUUAAAUAUGCGGGUGUAGCUCAAUGGUAGAGUUCUGGCCUUCCAAGCCAGCUGUGAGGGUUCGAUCCCCUUCACCCGCUCCAAAAAUGGGACCAUAGCUCAGCUGGGAGAGCACCUGCCUUACAAGCAGGGGGUCACAGGUUCGAGCCCUGUUGGUCCCACCAUUUGCGGCCUGGUAGUUCAGUUGGUUAGAAUGCCAGCCUGUCACGCUGGAGGUCGAGGGUUCGAGCCCCUUCCANCUUGGUACUACAUGUACAGGAUAGGUGGGAGGCUUUGAAACCAGGACGCCAGUUUUGGCGGAGCCAUCCUUGGGAUACCACCCUUGUAGUACUGGGACUCUAACCAUAGGCCAUGAAUCUGGUCUUGGGACACUGUCAGGUGGGCAGUUUGACUGGGGCGGUCGCCUCCCAAAAGGUAACGGAGGCGCUCAAAGGUUCUCUCAGUACGGUCGGAAAUCGUACGUAGAGUGUAAAGGCAAAAGAGAGCUUGAUUGCAAGACAUACAGGUCGAGCAAGGAUGAAAAUCGGACUUAGUGAUCCGGUGGUUCUGCGUGGAAGGGCCAUCGCUCAACGGAUAAAAGCUACCCUGGGGAUAACAGGCUUAUCUCCCCCAAGAGUCCACAUCGACGGGGAGGUUUGGCACCUCGAUGUCGGCUCAUCACAUCCUGGGGCUGUAGUAGGUCCCAAGGGUUGGGCUGUUCGCCCAUUAAAGUGGUACGCGAGCUGGGUUCAGAACGUCGUGAGACAGUUCGGUCCCUAUCCGUCGCAGGCGUAGGAAAUUUGAGAAGACCUGUCCUUAGUACGAGAGGACCGGGAUGGACGUACCUCUGGUGUACCAGUUGUCCUGCCAAGGGCAUGGCUGGGUAGCUAUGUACGGAAUGGAUAAGCGCUGAAAGCAUCUAAGCGCGAAGUCAACUUCAAGAUAAGAUUUCCCACCGCAAGGGUAAGACCCCAGAAAGACUAUCUGGUUGAUAGGUCGAAGGUGUAAGUGCAGCAAUGUAUUUAGCUUAUCGAUACUAAUAGGUCGAGGACUUGACC
rnacentral:rRNA from 1 species